GGUUCUAUAGUGUAGUGGUUAUCACAGUGGAUUUUGAUCUCAAAAUCUUCCAUUAACCCCGGUUCGAAUCCGGGUAGGUACCU
rfam:Piriformospora indica DSM 11827, WGS project CAFZ01000000 data, contig: PIRI_contig_0307